rnacentral:sRNA from 1 species
UUCCAUGACUUGGAUUAGAACUGAGGUUGCUGCAGCCAUGACGCAGAGUACUAACCACUAUAUGAUCACGGU